AAAAGCAUAGCUCUACUGGUUCAGAGCAUCCCGACCUAUAAGUCGGGAGGGUCCGCGGUUCGAACCCGUGUGCUUCCA
rnacentral:tRNA from 1 species